GAUUUGAUGUCCUUCAGGGGGGAUCAAGCGUUAAUUACCCCCUAAUUAAGUGUUCAGACCACCCCAAACCGCCUUGUAAUUCGCACCCUGUUCAUAUUCAAAAACAAUAUUUGAGACCAAGUUCCAGCAUGAGCCACCGAGGGUCGCCAGAGGACGUGAUUGAGAGCAGGGCACGUUAAACAUGAGGAGUGACGUCACAGGGAAUUUCCAGUAAGGAAGUCAAGCUGUCUAUUCAAACCUCGCGUUGAUCUCGACAUGGUUUACUGCGAUCUUUCGCGACAGGCGAUUAAAACGCAUUAAUGCAUUAAAUGCUGGAGCUUCUCCGUCUCUCUCUCUCCACCCGCUGACAUAAGCGAUCCAAUAUGGAGGAAUAAGUUGAGAAGUCAGCCUCAGAUCCGUGUGUUUGGCGCUGGGCAGCGAAGGCCAAAGACACUGUUCAGACUUUAGAUGAACUCUUGUGGAAUCAUGGCUGGCGAGGACCCAUACGUCACUGCGUUUUUGGACACCAAUGACCCUUUUCAGGACACAAUAUGGAUGACCCCCAUGGACCCAACGUCCUUCUCAGCCAUCCACACCAAUAACAUCAUGA